CCUGAGAAACCCGAAAGAUCGAAUGGGGAGAUUCAUCGUCAGCGAUUUUGGUACGUGUGCGGUUCGCGAUGCCGGGGACCUCGGUCCCAUGGCACGCGUCCGCAUGUUUUUAUUGCCUGAAUCGUCGGCGUGCACUUCUCCCCUAGUAGGACGUCGCGACCCGUUGGGUGUCGGUCUACGACCCGGGUGGUAGCCUGUCUCGUGUGCGCUUUACGGCGUUACGCGGGGCAGACCCCUGUGUGUCUGGCCGGCUGCCCGGCGGUACUCGCAUGGUAUCUGGCCGCAAAUAUUCGAACUGCGUCCGGCCCGUCGCAAGCGCGACAAGUGUUUCCCGGCUGUACGGAUCUAAUGCCGUCACCGGGCCUUGCCCGCUGUUGGUUGACGGUGUCCUAGGACUGGCCAAUAUAAUUAUGAUACCGGUCGGCGACGCUACUGCUUUGGGUACUUUCAGGACCCGUCUUGAAACACGGACCAAGGAGUCUAACAUGUGCGCGAGUCAUUGGGAUCUAUUAAGCCUAAAGGCGCAAUGAAAGUGAAGGUCGGCCUUGCGCCAACCGAGGGAGGAUGGGCCGCGUCACGAUGCGGUCCCGCACUCCCGGGGCGUCUCGUUCUCAUUGCGAGAAGAGGCGCACCCAGAGCGUACACGUUGGGACCCGAAAGAUGGU
rnacentral:rRNA from 1 species